rnacentral:rRNA from 1 species
CCUACGGGAGGCAGCAGUGAGGAAUAUUGGUCAAUGGACGAGAGUCUGAACCAGCCAAGUAGCGUGAAGGACGACUGCCCUAUGGGUUGUAAACUUCUUUUAUAAAGGAAUAAAACGAGGCACGUGUGCCUUUUUGCAUGUACUUUAUGAAUAAGGAUCGGCUAACUCCGUGCCAGCAGCCGCGGUAAUACGGAGGAUCCGAGCGUUAUCCGGAUUUAUUGGGUUUAAAGGGAGCGUAGAUGGGUUGUUAAGUCAGUUGUGAAAGUUUGCGGCUCAACCGUAAAAUUGCAAUUGAUACUGGCAGUCUUGAGUACAGUUGAGGUAGGCGGAAUUCGUGGUGUAGCGGUGAAAGGCUUAGAUAUCACGAAGAACUCCGAUUGCGAAGGCAGCUUACUAAACUGCCACUGACAUUGAUGCUCGAAAGUGUGGGUAUCAAACAGGAUUAGAUACCCUUGUAGUC